UACCUUCAUCGUCUCAAGCACCUUGAAGACGUUUAAGACGAGCCGCUACUUCCCAACGAGGGUAGGUAGCAUGCCUACACAUCAGAGUCCUUUCCCUGCCCCAUGCUGCUGCCCCAGCUGGCCCGAUGAGGAGCUUCACGGUGGCCGGCUUUUCCAGCAGCCUCGUUCACAGCUCUGUGGUAUGGGAGUAGGAGGGGGCUUUAAACCUUUUAAGUCAAGGCUCUGGAAAGAUCUCCAGAGGUGAGGUCUCCUCUCCAGAAUGGUGCCAAGUUUCAUGCCUCGGAUUCCCAGACACUUGGGAUGUAAGGCCAGAGCAGGCAUGCUGAAAACAGUCGGUUGGAGAGAAAUGAUCCUCACGCUCCAAAGGACUCGAAAACCCCUCCUUACCCAUGGUUCCUACCACAGUUUAUGAACUCCCUGGCUGCACGGGCUGCAGCAGCCAGCCUGCCUGUGGCUUGGAUUCCCUCCCUCACCACCUGAAGCCUCGA
rnacentral:lncRNA from 1 species